CGAGUGGCGGACGGGUGAGUAAUAUAUCGGAACGUGCCCAGUACGGGGGAUAACUACUCGAAAGAGUGGCUAAUACCGCAUACGCCCUACGGGGGAAAGGGGGGGAUCGCAAGACCUCUCACUAUUGGAGCGGCCGAUAUCGGAUUAGCUAGUUGGUGGGGUAAAGGCUCACCAAGGCAACGAUCCGUAGCUGGUUUGAGAGGACGACCAGCCACACUGGGACUGAGACACGGCCCAGACUCCUACGGGAGGCAGCAGUGGGGAAUUUUGGACAAUGGGGGAAACCCUGAUCCAGCCAUCCCGCGUGUAUGAUGAAGGCCUUCGGGUUGUAAAGUACUUUUGGCAGAGAAGAAAAGGUAUCCCCUAAUACGGGAUACUGCUGACGGUAUCUGCAGAAUAAGCACCGGCUAACUACGUGCCAGCAGCCGCGGUAAUACGUAGGGUGCAAGCGUUAAUCGGAAUUACUGGGCGUAAAGCGUGUGUAGGCGGUUCGGAAAGAAAGAUGUGAAAUCCCAGGGCUCAACCUUGGAACUGCAUUUUUAACUGCCGAGCUAGAGUAUGUCAGAGGGGGGUAGAAUUCCACGUGUAGCAGUGAAAUGCGUAGAUAUGUGGAGGAAUACCGAUGGCGAAGGCAGCCCCCUGGGAUAAUACUGACGCUCAACACGAAAGCGUGGGGAGCAAACAGGAUU
rnacentral:rRNA from 1 species